UAUUGUUGAGUAACGUUGUUCUGUGUC
rnacentral:sRNA from 1 species